rnacentral:lncRNA from 1 species
AAGAAGGUCAUAUAGCACCAAAUUGUCCUAAUAAAGGAAAAGGUGUAAGAAAAAUGAUUAAAACACCUUAAGAAUAAGAUUUAGAAAUAUGUUUAGAAGAGGAAAUAAAUCAUGAGAAAAUAUUAUAAGAAUUAAUAUCAGAAACGGAUUCUGAUACAAAUGAUGAAAAAUAUAUAUUUAUGUUUAAUAUAGGAAGCAGUUUUAAUAAUUAGUUAGAAGAAAUUCCCAAGAAUGAACAACAAGACAUAAAAUUAAGAAAUAUAAUCGGAGAAGAAAAAGAGUUUUCUGAUGAAAUGAUAGAAAAAUUAAUAAAAAUCAUAUUUCUAAAGAAGAAAUUUAUAAAAUAUCUAAAUAUAAGAUAUGGUGUCAAAGACAUAUAGAAAAAAGUGGUAAUACAGUUCCCAAAGACACUAGAGGUGGAUUAACAAAAAUCCCAUUAUUUAAUAAAGAUAAAAUUAAGAGGAUUAAAAAGAAAUAUCCCCAAGUUAGAUAUAUACAUUUAGGAAUUAUAAUGAUAACUAUAAGAGCAUGGUUUAGAAAAGGUCAUGAUAUACCAAUAAUUGCAGUUUUAUUAGAUAAAAGAUUUGAGAAUCCAAUAAACGCACUUAUU